UACAAGAUCACAGAAAAAUAAGGCUGAAUGGGAUCCUGUUCAAGGCUUGCUCAUUCCUGUUUAAACCAUGCUCCACAAAUGUUUGUCUAACCAGCACUUAAAAGUGUGCAGUGACAGCUUCCACAGGCCCUGUAGGGAAUCUGUUCCUGUGCUUAACUACCCUCAUGGUUAGAAAAUUCUUCCUCGUAUCCAACCUAAAUCUGCCUUGUUGCAAUCUAAGGUCAUUAUUUUUAUACAGAUUGCAUAACCCCCCUAUAUGAUGGCUCAGACAGUUAAGUAGGAUGAGGACUGCUACAGAGAUGUGCUCAUCUCUGUAAGUGGAAGCUCUGAAGGCAGGGAUGGGAAAAGUUGACCUUUAGGAUCUUUUUUUCCAAGAGUAAGAGCUUGCCCAGAGCUCUACGCCUGUUUAUUUUCCUUUCCUGCUUGCAGUGGCCCUGAUACACCUCCAAAGGCUUAAGUACUUUUCCUGCUGUAAAGGACAGGACUAAAUUGAUCUUCAGAGCACUCGUGUCUCUUUGGGAGCAAUGAAUGGGUUCAGCAGUGGGUUUAGAGGUUCUGCCGGCAAUGGAAAACAAAUACUGCUAGAGUGGGAAAGAAGCAGUUCAUUAACUCCAUUACAGCGCUGGACUAUGUGCCUGUUCCCCUGGUAUUAAUCAUUCCCUCCUGCUCUGGCUCCAAAGAGACUGUCUGCUACAGCUGGAGAACCUGGCCCUUUACUGAGAGCUGUAGAAAUGCCUGGAGAGGGACUGCAGUCCAGUCCUUUGGUACCUGACAUGACGGCUGGUCAGGACCAACUCAAGUCUGGGGAAGAUGGAGUUUCUGACCCCUACAAGUGCUGGUCCUUCCUCUCUGGGUGGUGUUGCUGGGAUGGGCAGAAGUCAGAAUCCAGGAGGGCAGGUUCACACUCGACACUCAUCGCAGGUUUGGUGAACUGCAUUGCCAGGUCCCCCACCUCGGGUCUGCCAGCACCUCCACACCUCUCCAUGCUGCUGCUGGAGUCGCUGUCUGAAGAGCUUGGAUUUGGUGGCAAAGAAAUCCGGGGUGCAGCUAGAGAUCAGCUUGCUAUCUCGGCCUGGAAGCUGUGCAAGAGAGAAGAGACAUCCGGUUCAUGCCACCAUGCCUAGCUGCCUCCCAUGGCUGCCCAGGGGUGAGAAAAUCCAACAGCCCCCUGCCCAUCUGCCAGCACCUCGAGCUUCCCACCCGAAAACUUAUCAGAUGUAGCGGUGUGCUGUCACCUCUGGCACGCGGACACCUGAAACCCACAAACUGAACACAACACCGCGAAUAAAUCGCUCGGGGGACGUUCA